rnacentral:rRNA from 1 species
AAGUUUCCCUCAGGAUAGCUGGCGCUCGGAUGUAACGCAGUCUCAUCCGGUAAAGCGAAUGAUUAGAGGCCUUGGGGCCGAAACGACCUCAACCUAUUCUCAAACUUUCAAUGGGUGAGAAGUCCGGCUUGCUCGACUGAAGCCCGGACGUCGGAUGCGAGUGCCCAGUGGGCCACUUUUGGUAAGCAGAACUGGCGCUGUGGGAUGAACCAAACGCCGGGUUACGGCGCCCGAUGCGGACGCUCAUCAGACCCCAUGAAAGGUGUUGGUUGCUAUUGACAGCAGGACGGUGGCCAUGGAAGUCGGAA